GCAGAAUCCAUUUUUUGAAAAUAUGAAAUGUCUUUCUCAGGCUCGAGUGAUUUUCCUUCCAGCUAUUACAGUUGAAGUUGCUAGAUGUUUUUAGCAUGGACAGAUUGAUGAAGAAGAUACAGCAGAAAAAAUUACAUCCAGUCUUCCUAGUGAGAUCACAAAAUCAUUUGCUGCUGUCAGAAGAGCAACCAAGCUCCUCCCUCCAUCCCUCCCCCAGGCAUCCCAAUACAAAAGAAAACUUUCUGCAUGGGAGCUAGCUAGGUAGAUAGGAUGUUCUUUUGGACGGGGUGGUGAAUGUGAGAAAAUGAAGACUUUCUAUCUCUUUGAAGAUACAAGCUAACCAAAAAUAGCUUUAAGAAACCAUUGUGAAGGUGUUUUAUUUUGAAGGGGAU